AUUUGCCCAAUUUCCAUCUCCAAUUAAAACGUCUGGAUUGAAUCCACACUUGUAAAAAUAAAAUUCAUAUGCGCAAUCUCUCAUAGCACAAAAAUGGGUAAAAGCAUUACGAAGAUCAGUGACAGGAAUGCUUUCAUCAAAUAAAAUCCUCAGACUGCUUUCCACACUGACAUGAUACUUAAGAAAGAACAAAAUGUGCAGAUCCAAAAUGUGCAGCUGGAUGCAUCGAUGUUUUUGGCGGUGCGCAUCGAUUUUUUCCUGUUUGGCACUAUAGUGAAAACAUCUCCUAUACACCUAAAGUGCGACUUACGACAUGUAUACACGUAUACAGAUUAGUUUGGCAGGUAGGGGUUAGUGUUUUGGUGGUAGAAGUUAGUGGUUACAUUUAGCAGUAACAAGGUAAGAGGGGACAGUUCAAAAUGUUAUUAAUUUGGAAUUAUACGGAAUUUAUAGAUUAGGGACCUUUUACUUAAUCUCCUAUUUUAUAAGAGCAAAGAUAAUUUUAACAACAUGUUUGUGAAGUUGUAACAUGAACUUGACCGAAUUACAGUACAUUGGGAACAGUGUGAACUUUGCUUCUUUGGGCAAGAUGACAUUAUGGUUUAUGUUGCUCUUGCACACAUGAAGAGCGCAGUGAAUUUGAUUAUAAAAGUGAACCAGGGUUUGUACUCAUUUGCAUAAUGCCUUGCGCAGGAAUGGACAAAGCGGGUGGUGGGCAUUAUCACUGCCCUUGUUCUAAGCAUUUUUUCACCGGACUGUAAAGAGGCAUUGUUAUACAUAGGACCUGCACAUAUUAUAGAUUCGGACUGUGGGCUAACGUCUUAUCUCUCGACGCCCACACUAUCAUGCUAAUUAGUUCUUGUGAUUUGGAAAUUCACCAGUUUGAGUAAAAGGAAGGGGCUACUGAGUGAAUAAAUGGUGAGCUAUGUUAAGAUCCUCCUUGAAAACAGUAAAGAGAGAACUAGAAAGUAAAAAACGGUGCCAGUCUUACUAAUGCAAAACAUGUGCAUCGGAAAGGAUUAGAGGAGAGCACUGAAACAAGUACAAUAUGUCAACAAAUUUAAUUUGCAGAUUGCAUAGUUUGACCCAAGAAGACCAAGACUCUAUGCAAUGCUUUCCAUUCAACAAAAUGAUCCCGCAACAUAUUCCAUUUGAUCGUUCAUGCUUCCCCAAACAAAAAAGAAAAUGUUUGUCUAAAAGAUCAAUCGGUUUUAGAGUACCAUCGAUCCAAUUAAGCUACAGUGUUUGAAAUGGGAAUAAUUUGGAAAGAAUCAUGUAGCAGUGGAAACAGCUGUAAACCUGACACUAUAAACACUGGGUAAAAUACCAUUAAAACAAAUAAAAGUUUUCAUUAACACCAUUGGUAUGGCGCCAUGGCUCAGUGGUUUAGGCAUUUCCAUCGAAACCAGCAAUGUCUCUGGUUCAAUGCUCAACGGCGAUACUAAUACUGAUUGGGUUGUCCAUAUCAAAUAAAAAUCACAUGAGGAUAGAAAAAAUGGUGCCAAUAAUACUCGUCCGACUGCAAUGCGGUGUUACGGCACCGGUCGCACAAAGAACCUAAAUGGACUUUCUGGGUGUUGAGGUAAUGGGCCAAAUCUGGCCUAAAUCCCAGAAAAGGACCUCAUCCAUAAAAAAAUACCCUAUUAUUGUUUGUAGAUUGCAUGUGACAUUGGUAUUAUACGCGACAUCCGGUUCGAAUGUUGAGAUAUUUACUGCAUUUGAAAAAAAACAAUGUGAAAUUUGUGUUAAAUUUUAAUAAAAUUUUGUUCUUUACAUUGUCUGAAAAUGAGUUUUGUAGUCUUUGAAUCUCUGAUAAAUAUAGAUAUAUAUUUGUGUGAAA